AAACUUCUUGAUAUCUUGCUUCGUAUAAUCCCAAUGAUAUGGUUUGGGAGUUUCUACCAAGAGCCUUAAACUCUUGAUUAUGAAGUCUGUAACUUUAUGU
rnacentral:ncRNA from 1 species